rnacentral:lncRNA from 1 species
UUGGGAUUAAUUCUAUUGUUGGUGCCAUGAACAACAAUAACCUUUUUUGACACUAAUGCCGGUAAUAAAUUGAACUCUUUUUUUUUUUUUGGAUUUAUCAGUUUGGUUUUUAUCUUGUUUAUUAUAUUUUCUUCAAUUCGUCUCCUCUAAUUGAAAAAUAAAUUACAUGUUUUUAUCAUGUUACAUUUUGUUCUUUUUGCUUCUUUUUGCUCCUUUGUUGGUUAAUUUUACAGUUGAAUUGAUCAUUCUUUUUUGGUUCAUUUAGGAGUCCCGACUACUUGUGUCGCUGGCUCCUCUUUGUGGGCAAAUCUCCCCUCGGAGAAUGGUGUUCUCUUCACUCAAGGCAAUCCUGGUAAUAAAUCAAGUUUUUUGCAUUUAUCAUUUUGAUGAUUCAUUUUGUACUUUCAAAUAUUCAUUCAUUGAUUAUUUUCCCUGAAUUUCAACUUUGUAAAAAUUUAGAGGCGACAACUUAUCCCUUUGAAUGUAAUGUGCUUGAUUAUGUUGUAAGAUAUAUUUAAUUAUUUAAUUAUUAAUUUUAUAAUUGUUGAGUGCUCGAAUAUGUUGUAAGAUAUAUAUUUUUAUAAAUUAAUAAAUAUGAAUUAAAACACUAUAUUUUUAAAUAUGUCAAUCCGCAUAACAAUCUACAAUUUAAGAGUUGGGGUAUUGUUGGCUCUUGUGCUAAUAUGACCUUGUUUGAAUACAAUGCUAUGAACAAUAGUAACCUUUUCAGCACUAAUAGUAAUAAACUUGGUUUUUUUUUUAUCGGUUUAGUUUUUAUCUUGUUUAUUAUAUUUUCUUUAAUUCGUCCCUUCUAAUUGAAAAAUAAAUUACAUGUUUUUAUCAUGUUACAUUUUGUUGUUUUUGCUCCUUUGUUGGUUAAUUUUAUCAUUAAAUUGAUCAUUCUUUCUUUUUCUUUUCUUUUUUUUUGUUAAUUUAGGAGUCCCGACUACGUAUGCUACUGGCUCCUCUUUGUGGGCACAUCUCCCAUUGGAGAAUGAUGUUCUUUUUACUCAGGGCCAUCCUGGUAAUAAAUCAAGUUUUUUGCAUUUAUCAUUUUGAUGAUUCUUUUUGUGCUUUCAAAUAUUCAUCCCUUGAUUAUUUUCUCUUGUUAAUUUGGAAUUUCAGCUUUGUGAAAAUCUGAAGACUACAACUUGUCUUAUUUAAUGUAGUGUGUUUGGUUAUGUUGUAAGAUAUGUUUAAUUAUUUAAUUAUCAAUUUUCUAAUUGUUGAGUGCUCAAAUAUGUUGUAAGAUAUAUAUUUUUAUAAAUUAAUAAAUAU